rnacentral:pre_miRNA from 1 species
UGAUGUUGUCAACAUUUAUCUUGUAAUGAUCGCCUCUUAUACAUGGAAACAACUGCCCUGUCCCUACAAUUAAACACCCAAAGCUUUUGCUUGUUGUGAAGGGCCCUGUUAAAAUAUGCAUUGUGAUUAUCAUUUAAAUGAGAUGACUGUCA